ACAAGUGUCUCUGUGUCUAUGUCUGUCCAUCCUGUAGAGAGCUGACUCUCCAUGAGCCUCCACAGACCUGCUGGUCUGGGUUGUGUGGUUAUCCCUCUCUGGUCACUCAGGUCCACAUCCUGAUGGCUAACGGUCUCGCAGGACAAGACUCUGAUGGAGUGUCGGACCCCUACGUGAUAAUUCGUUGUGAAGGGGAGAAAGUUCGUUCUCCGGUCCAUAAAGACACCCGAAGCCCCAACUUCGACACCAAGGGGCUCUUCUACAGGAAGAAGGCCAACAAGCCAGUCACCAUCGAGAUCUACAACCACAACGUGCUGAUGGACUC